rnacentral:rRNA from 1 species
CAGCCGCCACGGUAAUACGAAGGGUGCAAGCGUUACUCGGAAUUACUGGGCGUAAAGCGUGCGUAGGUGGUGGUUUAAGUCCGUUGUGAAAGCCCUGGGCUCAACCUGGGAAUUGCAGUGGAUACUGGGUCACUAGAGUGUGGUAGAGGAUAGUGGAAUUUCCGGUGUAGCAGUGAAAUGCGUAGAGAUCGGAAGGAACAUCUGUGGCGAAGGCGACUAUCUGGGCCAACACUGACACUGAGGCACGAAAGCGUGGGGAGCAAACAGGAUUAGAUACCCGGGUAGUCCCUGUCUCUUAUAA